GACGAACGCUGGCGGCGUGCUUAACACAUGCAAGUCGAACGGAGCGAAUGAAAGCUUGCUUUUAUAAGCUUAGUGGCAAACGGGUGAGUAACACGUAGGCAACCUGCCGACAGGAUGGGGACAACAUUCCGAAAGGAAUGCUAAUACCGAAUGAAGUCAGAGAAGGGCAUCCUUUUCUGAUGAAAGAUGGCCUCUAUAUAUAAGCUAUCACCUGUCGAUGGGCCUGCGUCUGAUUAGCUGGUAGGUGAGGUAACGGCUCACCUAGGCGACGAUCAGUAGCCGGUCUGAGAGGAUGAACGGCCACAUUGGGACUGAGACACGGCCCAGACUCCUACGGGAGGCAGCAGUGGGGAAUCUUCCGCAAUGGGCGCAAGCCUGACGGAGCAACGCCGCGUGAGUGAAGAAGGUCUUCGGAUCGUAAAGCUCUGUUGAUGGGGACGAACGUGCCUAAUGCGAAUAGUAUUAG
rnacentral:rRNA from 1 species